GAGGAAUGGGUUUAAGGCUUUGGUUAAUACUGCUGCUCUGAAGGGCUUCCUUAACCAGGACAACUGACCAGAGUUUAACCUGUGUCUUUUUGUUUGUUCUCCUUUGAAGAAAGGAUGAAUGUAAAUCCGUCUGCAAACCAGAUGCUCUGUUAUGUAGUCCUUGAAUCUGAUGAGCACAUGCAUUGGCGUGUUCUGUAGACUGUAUUGACAUCGUAUCCAGGGUUUUUCAUAACACUCCUUUGGCUUUCUGAACCAACCUUGUGAUUUGAUAAUCUGUGUGGUCACUUCCUUAGAAGAAAUACUUUCUCUUCUUAAUAGACUGGGUUGUAGCUAUUUGGACAAAUUGUUGAACAGGAAUGGGAUUCUUGAUUCGUGUCAUUGCCUUGACUGGUUAACCAUUAGUUCCUCUGGGGAGAGGUGAUAUAGAAGUCUUUCCUAGGCAACCAUUAUGCUUUCCUGAGAAGGUCAAGAACCAGACAUGGAAGAGCUGUAUCAUCAGCUUGCUACCUAAAUCUGCAAAUGUCUAUAGAUUAGGAAUUCUUUUGGAAACUGAAAGAUUUAGCAUGGACCAGAUGGCCCAGUCCAAAGCUGAAGCGACACACAAUUUCAUUGAAGGAGACAUCAUAAGUCAGUUGUGUGAAGCUUCAGUAAGUCAUAAGAUUGAGGUAAGAAGUGAAUAAAAAUAGUGCCUACCACUGAAAAAUUUGCGGCAAUGGCACCAUUAAUGUCCAAGUCAAUGAGUAAAUAGUGGUGAGACAGAAUUAGUAUCAAUUUUAUGGGAUACGGUUCUUUGUCAUGACUUAGCACGUCUUGAGCAAUCCAUUGCGUCUCAGAGAUGUUGUUUCCUUUUGUGUAUAUUGGAUUAGUAAUAUACCUGAAAACAUUUGCCACAGCAUAUAUCUUCAAUUGAAUUGGUUCAAUUUGUUAUAUAAAACAGUAUCAUUAUGAAAAUCUACUUUAGGAAGAUAACAUUAGUCUACAGUUAAUAUGUAAAUGAGUUUUUGUCAGGAGACCCAAGGCCCUCUGAGAAACCAGUAUUGGUUUUGUCCUUAGGAUCAGGACUUGGUGGUUCUCUUGAAAAAGUGUCAACCUUCAGAGUGUAGCCAACAAUACUGACAGCCAUAUACACAUUUAUAGUCUACAUCAGACUGAACAAUUUCCAAGUUUCUCCUUGUACUACAGGCUAAUAACUUUCUGUACCUCAGCAUGCCAAGAUGAAUGACUCUCAGCUUAAGGUUCGUAAUUUUAUGGCCUGUGAUAUUACACUACCCUCAGAGGCCUUUACUGUUAUCAUCACUAAAAUAUGAAGAUGAGACAGGUAAAAUUCUCUGAUUUUUUCCCCAUGAUUUAUGAGAUGUACUCAUUAACCUGUAAACUUCAUGAGCAAGCAUAGUAGCUAGACUUUUCUCUCUUGUUACUCUGUAUAGUAUCAAAAGUAAUUCCUUGUUGCUUUCUAAGUAAGCUUCAGUUUUUAUUUGUGAUAGGAAAGAAAAAAGUGGGACUAAAAAAAGUGGAAAGAAGGAGCAGGGACAAGGGAGCUUUGUUUUCUAUGUAACAUGGUAAAUGAUUUGGAGAAUAGACUGAAAGGAAGUGCAAACAAUAAGAUUCAUCUAGAUGUUCUAAAGACUUGGAAGAAAGUCCUGGUGCAAGUCCCAACUUUCUUCCCUGGUACAACAAAGUUUCCCUCUGUGUUCUGCAUUGCUUGAGGUAGUGUAUUGUUCUUGAAUAAUCCUAGAUCUUGUUGUUGGUUACAGACUUUUUCUGUGUGCUAUAAGAAUAGGCUGAGUUAUCGGUGUACCUCCUAGAAUAUUGCCCCAUGGAGGCUUUGGCUUCACUGUGGACAUGUUUAACUCCUGUCCAGGAUUUGGUUUUGAGGACAGGUUCCAGUAAAACCAUUUUGUACCUACCCUUAGUAUGACAAGAAGAUGCCAGAAAUAAUGCCUUAAAUGGAGUGACAUUCUUGUCACUGGGGUUUCUACUCAAUUGCUCUACAAUCAAAAUACAUCUUCCAAAAUCAGAAAGCAGUAUUGUAGAUUCUUCUCACAGAAAUCAACCUCUUUUGAUUGUAGAAAAGGGGAUUUUUUUUCCUUAUGGAGAAGUCCUACCCUCCCGCUCUUAUUGAUUGACUCAUUUCUCACACUUGAUUUUUUUUCUCUGUAAAGUGUUUAAAAUUGACAAUUUCCUCUGAAUGCCUGUCAGCUGUAGAAAGGAAGGAAGGAAGGAACAAGGGAGGGAUAGAGGAAGGG
rnacentral:lncRNA from 1 species